rnacentral:rRNA from 1 species
GCCUCGCCGUAAACUUUUAAUUACACCCACUAUCGCCAGGGAACUACAAGCAAAGCUUAAAACCCAAAGGACUUGACGGUACCCCAUAUCCCCCUAGAGGAGCCUGUCCUUUAAUCGAUAAUCCCCGUUUAACCUCACCAUUUCUAGUAAUAUCAGCCUGUAUACCUCCGUCGUCAGCUUACCACGUGAGCGAAACCUAGUGAGCUUAAUGCCAAUACACCAAUACGUCAGGUCAAGGUGCAGCAAAUGAAGUGGGAAGAGAUGAGCUACACUUUCUAAUAUAGAAAAUUACGAAAGACUACCUAUGAAACCUAGUCGGAAGGCGGAUUUAGCAGUAAAAAGAAACCAG